UUUUAAGGAUUUAUUGAUAAUUUGGAAAAGAUAUUUAGUGUGAAGGAGAAGAGAUUUUACAUAAUCUGGAUUUUCGGGUUGGAGUUAGGUCAGGCCUAUUUUUUAUUUUAAAAAUCAUAAAGUAGGCAUGAAUAAUAUACGAGCCAGGUUAGGUUAGUUCAUUCCUAACUUUUGAAACCUGACCCAAAUCAUGGACCUCCAAAUAGAUUGGAUCAAUUUUAAUGGGAUCGGACUUGUUUCGAUUAUGAGUUGAUCUUAACCCAUUUGCAGCACUAUCUUAGUUUCGACUAGCCCGUAGCAAAAUAUAUUACGUGGUAAGCAACUGGCUGGCCCAACUACGGCUAAGCUUGGCUCCUCACAAGGCACAGCUAAUGAUGUCUUCGUGCCAUGCUUUCUCCUUUUGCUUCCUUAUACCCAGUCAACUUUCCGAGUCCUCGAAGCCAAAAGUAACUCAGAAAAAAA
rnacentral:lncRNA from 1 species